GAGUUUGAUCCUGGCUCAGGAUGAACGCUGGCGGCGUGCUUAACACAUGCAAGUCGAACGGGGCCACCAUUUUUGAAGCGAUUAGCUUGCUAAGAGUGGAAAUGUUGGCGGCUUAGUGGCGGACGGGUGAGUAACGCGUGGGUAACCUGCCUUGCACUGGGGGAUAACACUUAGAAAUAGGUGCUAAUACCGCAUAAGCGCACGGAGCUGCAUGGCUCAGUGUGAAAAACUCCGGUGGUGCAAGAUGGACCCGCGUCUGAUUAGCUUGUUGGCGGGGUAACGGCCCACCAAGGCGACGAUCAGUAGCCGGCCUGAGAGGGUGGACGGCCACAUUGGGACUGAGACACGGCCCAAACUCCUACGGGAGGCAGCAGUGGGGAAUAUUGGACAAUGGGGGGAACCCUGAUCCAGCGACGCCGCGUGAGUGAAGAAGUAUUUCGGUAUGUAAAGCUCUAUCAGCAGGGAAGAAAGAAAUGACGGUACCUGACCAAGAAGCCCCGGCUAACUACGUGCCAGCAGCCGCGGUAAUACGUAGGGGGCAAGCGUUAUCCGGAUUUACUGGGUGUAAAGGGAGCGCAGACGGUAAUGCAAGUCUGGAGUGAAAUGCAGGGGCUCAACCCCUGAACUGCUUUGGAAACUGUAUGACUGGAGUGCAGGAGAGGUAAGUGGAAUUCCUAGUGUAGCGGUGAAAUGCGUAGAUAUUAGGAGGAACACCAGUGGCGAAGGCGGCUUACUGGAC
rnacentral:rRNA from 1 species